GUGGCGAUGGGUCCCAAUGAUGCUUUUGCGACACGUGCUUUUUCCACGGCAAAUAUCCCCUACUUGGGACAUGUUCACCAAACUAAUUCCACCGGCCUCCUCCAUCUGUGUGUCGGAAUCCCGCCGCAGGAGCCCACGGAGCCACAUGGCAGGUGUUUGCUUUGGGAGGUCCAUCCAAGACUAGCUAAGAGGGAGGAAAGCUGCACUUGGUCGUCUUGUCACAUCCGAGGACAAAUGGACUCCUCUUGCAACUUCAUCUAAGUGUGGCGCGUGGAGAGAGCGCGCACGGGGUCACAAGGUGACGGUGCUCCGUGCCACCAAGAGGGACCAAACCCGUGCAGCUUCCACAUCGGACCAGUCGUGCAGCUCUGGCGGGAUUCUGCAGCGGCAGCUUUGGCCUCAGAGGCGACGUCGGGAGGUGUGCCGUCGACUGCAGGUCACCAGUCACCAGACUGGUUGGUCCGACACUACGGCAAGUUCCCAGUGU